GUCGAGAAUUUUUCUCAAUGGGCGCAAGCCUGAAGGAGCGACGCCGCGUGGAGGAUGAAGGUCUUCGGAUUGUAAACUCCUGUCAUUAGGGAACAAAGCCUCCGGUUAACUGCCGGCAGGUCUGAUAGUACCUGAAGAGGAAGAGACGGCUAACUCUGUGCCAGCAGCCGCGGUAAUACAGAGGUCUCAAGCGUUGUUCGGAUUCAUUGGGCGUAAAGGGUGCGUAGGCGGCGAGGCAAGUCAGAUGUGAAAUCCCGGGGCUCAACCCCGGAACUGCAUUUGAUACUGCCUUGCUCGAGUACUGGAGAGGAGACUGGAAUUUACGGUGUAGCAGUGAAAUGCGUAGAUAUCGUAAGGAAGACCAGUGGCGAAGGCGAGUCUCUGGACAGUUACUGACGCUGAGGCACGAAGGCCAGGGGAGCAAACGGGAUUAGAAACCCCAGUAGUCC
rnacentral:rRNA from 1 species